rnacentral:rRNA from 1 species
ACACGACUACAUUAGAUACCCCCGUAGUCCCAGCCGUAAACUAUGCGCGUUAGGUGUAUCGGUGACCACGAGUCACCGAGGUGCCGAAGGGAAACCGUGAAACGUGCCGCCUGGGAAGUACGGCCGCAAGGCUGAAACUUAAAGGAAUUGGCGGGGGAGCACAACAACGGGUGGAGCCUGCGGUUUAAUUGGACUCAACGCCGGACAACUCACCGGGACGACAGCAAUAUGUAGGCCAGGCUGAAGACCUUGCCUGAAUCGCUG